UACGUAGGGACCAAGCGUUGUUCGGAUUUACUGGGCGUAAAGGGCGCGUAGGCGGCAUAUUAAGUCAGCUGUGAAAUCUCCGAGCUUAACUCGGAACUGUCAGCUGAUACUGAUGUGCUAGAGUGCAGAAAGGGCAAUCAGAAUUCUUGGUGUAGCGGUGAAAUGCGUAGAUAUCAAGAGGAAUACCUGAGGCGAAGGCGGGUUGCUAGGCUGACACUGACGCUGAGGCGCGACAGCGUGGGGAGCAAACAGG
rnacentral:rRNA from 1 species